rnacentral:lncRNA from 1 species
UUUUUUUUUUUUUUUUAAAGAAAUUGAGACAGCAACAAAAGUGUUCCUUAGGACAUACUGCUUGUAGGAGGUUGAGCUGAGAUUUUUGCCUCCAGGUGUUCCGUCUUUACCCUGAACUAUGGCCAACCAGUACAUACUGAUGGGAACCUGAUGAGGGCAGCUGGGCAUUCUUGACUUAGUUUACUACUUUUAUUUUGGCAAGUCAGAAUAUCAUACGUAGUGUACUGCUUUAGCACACAUGUGAGUAACUCUUGUUAAAUGAGACACAUAGAUCAUUUUAAUAACACAGAAUUGAAAAACAGGAAACAUACUUGUCUUAUAUAACUCAAGCCUCAGACAUAAGGGAAUUUCAGACUGGAGUACCUCAUACCCUGGAGGUGACACCUGCAACUCAGACGUGGUAAUGAGCCAGUUAAGUCAAGUUACAAAAUUACAAGGUUCUGGAAUUUUCAAGUGUGAGGUCAGAGAAUCUUCUGUCAUGGAGGAAAUCUGUAGAGUCUCAGACAGUAAUGAAGAAGAGGAGAGAAUUUGGAAUUUGGAGGAAUGAUAGAAAGACGAAGUAUAGUUGUGACCAGAGACCGUAGGUCCUAACAAUGGUGAGUGCAUAUCUCACCCUUUGUUCCACAGAGCUAGCUACCAUUUAAACCUCAUUCUCAAUCCUAUCUACUCUGACUUCUGUCUGUGGAACUCCAUCUGGUGUUUGGAUUAUUAUCAGCCUGGGAAAUAUUUUCUGUGGGAUUUCAUAUUUGAUUUCAAUUAUGUUUGAUGGGAUUGGAUUUUAAAUUUAGUAGAAAAAUGUUAUGUGUAUGUAUAUGGAGGCAAGUUUGUUAAAAUAUACGUAUUUCAAAAUGAAUCUACAGCAUAAUGCGGAAAUACUUUCACUUCUGUUUAAAAUCUUUGGGUGAAUAUAGGGUUUUCUUUGCAGAUGUUGGGAAAAAUACUCAAUCAUUUGUUAAUCCGGGGUCUUUGGCAAAUCUGUUUUGUGCCGCGGUGAUAUCCAUAGCUUUUUUGGGUGUUGGCUUAGGAGCAAAUGCAUUGGCAUAAAACCAUCCUUCAGCAACUUUUGUUAACACCUUUAGCCUCUGUGUCAAAAAACAUUUCACAGUACUAUGAAGUAUAUUCAAAUACUAGUUUUAAUUUUUCAUGUUAUGAUUUUAUUAAAUAUACUUUUUUGACCCAAUAUGUAGUAACAGUGAUAAAAGAUUAUGGUACUCCAAAAGGAAACCAUUCAUUUUCUUACAACCAAUUAUAUUGUCAUGGAUUAGUCUUAAGGUAUUGAUUCCAUUUUUAAGGAAGCCAGAUGCUAUAAAUCUUGUAAAGGUGCUGUGAAUACUUAGUUGUCAGAGAGCAAUGCACCCUGGAUUUUCUCUGUCCUGGACAUGCAGCAAGUAUCCUAUUGGCUUAGUUCAUUGUGGUAUAAAGUCAUCAGUAAAUUUGGGAAAGCCACAAACAGAAAGAGUAUGGGCAGGAACUGGGCAGCAUAGGAGAACAGUGAUGAUAAUCUAUUGGCCUCGUUCUUUCCGAGUGUGGUCAUGGGGAUGGCAUCUUUGAAAUCUCAUAGCAUUGCUUCAGUGUUCCCUAUGUGGAAAAGCAGUGCAGAUCUGUUCAUAAAUAAGUAUUCUAUCUCCUACCUCACAGGGUUCUGCAGCGUAGAGUUACCUGAUAAGUCCAUGCUGCAGUUACAGGACCUACAGUUCUUAUCUCGAUAGUAGAACAAUUAGUGCAUCUGCUGCAAUGUCGAAAGGAAAGAAAUGCAGGUAAAAUGUCCCCAAAUUAAAAAAAAAAAAAAAAAAACUCUGGAGUGACCAUAACAAAGCAAAUUCUCACAACUCAAGGAGUUUUGAUAAAUGUGUUUAGGAGUGUUAGAAAUGUGGCAGCCACAGGGAAACGUGUAGCUUAGAAAGAACAACUGUAAAAGUUUUAGAUGCCAGAAUCACAAGUUGGAAUGGAAGAAAUGAUUUUGCUAUUUGGUCCUUUGAGAAGGCCCAUUGCUCCUUUUGGCAGAAAUUCCCAGACAUUCAGGCUGUUCUGAUCAUUUAUUUCCCUCCUGCUUCAGGUAGUGAAGUGCCAGUGGAUUGGGGAGUAAAGAUGUGGGGGUAAGAGAAAUUAUGUAAAUGUUGUGUGCCGGCAAGACAAAUUUCAAUCCCUUGAGGUCUUUUAAAUGGUAUUAAUUCUAGAAAUAAGACACAAAAUUUAACCUUUUCAUGCUAAUAAUGAUUUCAUAAAGAAAAACUCGUUAGUAAAGGUGACAAAUAUGAAGUUCUAUUGAACAUUUAAAUUCCAGAAUCUCAGUGAAUGCCCCAGGGAGAUAUUUACCCAGCCAAUGACUUUCUGAUGUUAUUAAGAAGUAAUUUAUUCAAGAAAGUCUCCAUUCAUGAGUUUACAUAAGAACAAUAUCUACUUUACAAAGGCUUGUGUUCUCAAUAUAGCACAUACCUAAUUUACAAUGACUUUUGGUUAAAAUUUUCAUUAGGUUGGUUCAAUAGUAUUUGAUAAUUUUAAUUUAGUUUUAUGAGAUCCCAGGUUCCCAUUUAUAGGAAGAGAAAAUGAAUGCAGAGGAAAUAAAUUUUUAAAGAGCAAAUUUAUCUCUCAAAUGAGCUCUGCUAAUUUCAGCAGUAAAUCUCAGGUGGAGGAAAGUUAACCUUUAGUAUUUCUAUGGCAGUCCUUUUGGGCAUAGACUAUGGGCAUCCAUUAAAAAACAGCUCAGACUCACAGCAUCAGUGCUUUGCAACUAUGCCGAUAUGCAUAGAGAUUCUACGACUCUCUUCUGUGAAAUGCUGAAAUGGAAAAGGAGCCCCAGGGUUUAAGCAUAGGAUGUUUUCAUGGGUCCAAGCACAGGAAAGGAACAGUGGUCCUCAAGCAUAAAUCAGGCCCAUGAAAACAUAACCAAAAUAGAUGAAAAGUGAAUGCUACAGGUUUCUGAAACAAGGGUUAAGGAGUAUACAAUUACGAGAGGUCAGGAAUUUAGGUAGGACAGCCAUGAUUCAGGCUUUAGUCAAGAAAGUGAAAUCAGGGCAGACUCAGAGUCCCGAAUGGAGGAUGAGAAAGCCACGUCAUGGAGCCUGCCUGUCAUCGGAGGUGGACCAGCCCUAACAAUGUGAUGCAGAAUUUGCCUGCUUGAUUGGAGAAGGGAUGAGUUAGCAAGAGGUUGUGGUAUGUGUGUACAAGUGUGUGCACGCAUGCAUGGGCUUACACAUACACACACACACACACACACACACACACACAGAAAGUUAAGGUUUUUUAGCAACUAAGUUUUCAGUUAAAGCUAUCUGAUACAGACUUCAUGGGGAUAACUCCAAACUCUUUUCCAGUUAAUCUGCAAAUAGUUUAGGGCAAUGAAAAGUGAAACACCCCCCACCCCCAUCUUAUCAACAAAUUGAAUGAAUAUACUAUUUGCCACCAAGGAAGCAAGUCUAACCUCUCACAAUAUUGUCCCAUAUUGACAGAUGGAUUGUAGAUAAAAUUCUCUGUCAUAUCAUUCAGCAGGGUACUGAAAAUGUAGCUAUGGGUCUUUUGUGGGUGCCAAAGACCACAGAAGGCAAUCUAGUCCCUGCCCCACACUACCUUUCUGAACUGGCCUCUUUCCUCCCUCUCUUCAGUAAGGAAGAGGAUAGCUAAGCAAUUAUUCAACGAGUUUGAUCAACAUAGAAAACCAACCUAGACCAUUCAUUCACCUUCUGCAUGUCAGCUUCUGUUUACUGAAGGCUCACUUGUGCAAAUGUCUGUGGUCUAUUAGGAUGUUUCCUAGCCAUAUUUGGAACAGCCUUCUGGUUUCAUCAGUAGGCAUCCUGGGCUAUAAAAUCAACCUCAGAUCAAGUAAAGAUUCAAAUGAACAUCAACUAGUUUUUUUAGGUCUUGAUCCUUGAGGCAGCAUAUAAAACCACUGAAACCAAAGUCAAGAGCCCUGUGUGAUAGUUGUAUAUGGACUAUCCAAUCUGUCUAAAAUACAUUCUGCUAGAGUUAGCAGUGAAUCUACAGAAUAUAUUAUGUGUGAUUGUCAUUGUCAUUAUAAGUUACAACUCUGUAUUUUAUGGUAUAUAAUGAAAUGAGAUGAUAAAAGUGACAUCAAGCUUUGGAUUCCAGUGUCUAAAUCACCCGUUUUAUUCAUCGUUUGGCAGCUAAAUGUCUUUUAAAUACUGUGCAACGUUUUAUGAUUUAAUGUUUGCCUAAAGAAUGGAAAGCUGCAUUACUAAGUAGAAUCAGACCGUACCACAUAAAACCACCAGAAGACAGGUGUUUAAUCUAGUUUCUUUUGGCCUCUGAGAAGAAGAGUACAGGAUCCAUCUAUCUCCAGACACCCCAUUCUCCAAGGUUCAUCAAAUUCAUGCUCUUCACCAAGCAAAUUAAGAGUUUACCUGCUUUCCACUACUACAUUUAACUUGUUCUAAAAAUCCCUUCAAGCUCAUCUUUUCUACUAAGAAAUUGAUAUUUUGGUCUCUGGUGGUCAUUUGUGUUUAGCCUUCUGUCUUUGUUGGCUUUGCUGUGACCAAAGAGAAUUCAUCAUUAGGUAAGAAUCUUAAUUCCCAGUAGUUAAGAGUUCAGUGAAGUAGCUUCCAGUGCUAUGAAUAUUAGGUACCUGCUAGUUUUCUUGAAGACUCCAAAGCCUAUGCGCCUUGUUUCUCUGAUUUAGAAGCUUCAAAUCAGGACAUUGUAUUCCUGUGAUGGGAGGUGGCCUAAUUUGACAAGGCACUCAUGAUUUGUGAUUUUUAUUUUAUUGAACCCUCUGUCAAUAGAAAGAGCUCUCCAUCCCUCUCCCCGCCAUCAUUCAUAUUCCUGAUAAGAAUGGUAAGAAACAGCUGCAGCCAUUCCAAACUCACUUUGUUUUGACUCUAAAUCCAAUAAAUAAUCAUGGUCAACCCUCACAUUAACAGAGGAGCAACCCACUUUGUAUUGAGACCUCCAUGAAGUGAGGGGGUCUAUGACAGUCCUAUUACUCCCUAGAAUGUCCACCCAUCUGUUGGCUCAUAUUAAAAUGAUCCCAAUUCUCUAUUACCAAUGCUUCCUCCAUUCAUCCCAAGGCAUGAAUUCCAGGCAAUAUGUGAAAAUUGUAACACAGAUAAGUCCCCAAGAUGUUAUUAAUCAUUCCUCUAGGUGCAGGAAUUUUGCAAGUUUUUUAUUCUUUUUUUGUAGAAUAGGAGGCCAUGACAGUAGAAAUUUUAAAGAGAGGUGGAGAAAGGGGAUCAAGAAAGAGGGAGAUGGAUAAGAAACUGAAAAUUCAGGGACUCGGGAGACACUCUUGCCUAACGGCCUUUGCCUUUGGCUCUCUUAACAAAACUCUAGGGUUUGACAGGCUCUAAAUUGUUUCUUGUCACCCUCUCAAUUAGAGAGGCUAAUCCUAAUAUUAAUGAACACUGCUGAGCAAUAAAAUGUAAAAUAUCUUUCCUCUCAAAACCAAGAAAUCAUAUAUGAUCCAGAUCACAACUACAAUCCAUGCAAUGCAUAUGUAUUUUAAGAUUAAGUAACUUUUCCUUUCCCAUCUGUGCUCUAAAUCUGUGCCAUAUGUCACCUAACAAGGUAUUUUCCAUUAUUCUUUUAUUCAGUUCACUGCAUUUUGUUCCUCUUGUCCCUUGAAAAUUAGCCUGUCUGUAAUCAGAAAUCACUUCCAUUCACAGUUCAGUGCAUCUACUGUAGAUGUGGCAAAUGCUUGUUUACAGAGCUGGUAAUUGGAUUAAAACAUUGAAAAGAAACAGAAAAAUGGAAUGUAUUGAAAAAAUAAAAAACACAAGCAUAAAAUCAACAAAACCAAAACAAAUUAAAAAGCUCUAAUGAAUAAAAUUGCUAUUAAUGGAAAUCAUUUAUCAGUACAAUGUUCCUGAGUUUGCAGUCCUCAAUAUUCAAUUGAAAUGAUAUUUAAAAACCUAUAAGAGAAAAAGGAAAAGGAUUCUGAAUAGCUUUUCUGCGAGCAUGACUUGAAAUCGUUGAUUAGUUUCUGUGUAUCUUCUGGGCUGUUGUGAGAAAUGGUCAGUCCAAAAAUCUUUACCAGGUCUCGAUACAGAAAUACCACAGUCAGGAAAGCACUGCUGUGUUAAGUUAUUUAAGGAAAAUUAAUUAUUCUUUCAAAUUUGGUAUUAUUAUUUUGAUACUUAAAAACACAGAAAAGAAAAAGUAUGUAUGACGUCUUUCCACACGGCCUUGCUGAGUGGUAUGAACAGGUGAUUGUGACGCUGACAGCAUUGGGCAUAGUGUGCCAUUUUGUCAAUUCAAGAGUGAUGGGGUUGGUAUAUAGUUGACAGUUUGCAACCUAAAAACUAAACCCAUAGGCCUAAUUUUCUGAACAUCCUUCCAAUAACCUUAUUCAAAAUAUUUUUUUUAAAGAAGCCAAUGUUUUAGGAAAACAAAACAACUUGCAAUCAAAUAAACCAAGAGUAGUACAGGAAUGUGAAAUCAAUUAGUCAUACAGGAAUGCCAAUAUCCAACAACAGGUAAACUUUGAUAUAAAUGGGAUCCAAAGAGACACAGGAUCAGAUUCAACAGUAAACAAAACCCAGAAGAGAAAAAUCCAAAGAGAUACAACAGAACCAUUCACAUAUCAGAAAGCAUAAAGCAAAAAUCAAAUAAUCAAAUCCAUGUGAUUAAAGUACCACCACUACCUUUAGUAGGUGUCUUCAGGUAGUUCAUCUUAAGCCUACAGAAGAGAAGAGCUCUUACCUGCUUGGCUGGAUCACUUCUUUCUUUAGUUCUGUAGACC